UUUGGAAAUUGUAUCUGCUCUUGGCCAUUAUCGUAUCAUUCACUCCUCCUUUUCCUAUUUGUUUCCUAAACUUCCAGCAGCUGCCUCUUGGGCUCCUGGGCUUCAUGCCAUCGGACACUCCCAUAGUGAGGCCCACCCCUUUUCGCUGCUGACUCACUGGGUGGAGGUGGUUUUGGAGAACCAAGAACGAUUUUCUAGUCUUUUAAAUGCAGUUUCCCAGGGAGAAUGUUAAAAAGAAAAGCUCUGGUUCACCAGGAUGGCCUUGUUAUGCUUUGGGCAAAGUUGAGUAAUUUCUUGAGUCACCCUGGGGUUUGUGUAAGCUUUUUUACACACGCUUUUCAAAUGUACCUUUUGAAUAGAUGAUACUUGCCCAAUUCCAAAAGAGUUAAAGGUACAUUAUGUCCUAGCUCUCCUCCUGGAGGCAGCCACUGGUUUUCUACUUCCUUGAGGGGACUUUCAGGUUAUUCUCUACAUGUUCAAGGAAGUAAAUGUAUUUCUUUCCACAUUUGGUUGCAAAUGACCUAUGUCAUUUUCAACACCCCCUUACUAGGACUUAGGGAUAAUUUAAUAUAUAAGAAACAAAAGAGCUGCUCAUUUUCAGUAGCUGCAUAACACUUCAUUGUACGGCUAUCCAUAAUCUAUUUAACCUGUCCCUUACUGAUGGACUUUUAGAUUGUUUUUAACUUUUUUCUAUUAUAGAUAGUGCUGUAAUUAAUAGUCUUGUACAUAUAUGUGUUGUAUUUGUGCAAAUAUUUCUAUAAGAUACAUCUCUGGAAAUGGAAUUGUGUUCUAGUUCUUUAUGUAAUUACAUUUUUCAAAAUGUAACCAGAUUCACUUUCUUAAAAAUUGCAUUAAGUUUU